rnacentral:lncRNA from 1 species
UGCCCCAACCCCAGCCCAACCAGCUCUCCUUUUCUCCACUCUCCGGGGUUGGGCUUGGGGGACCUUCUUAUGCCGGUGCCUUGGGGAGGUGAACAUCACCACGAUCUCCAGUGCAGCCCCAUUCUAGAAGGCAGAUCAGGAGGUAGGUGUUCAUUCCUCAGAGGACAGCUAAAAUGGGUUGGUCAGGGCUUCCCUUGGCUGUUAAGUAGAAGUUACUCGCCUUGGAGCACCGCGUGCCUGCUUCUGGUUUGGGAUUGGUGAGAAUUUCAAAGAUGCCUCUUUCUGGUUUGGGAUUGGUGGAAAAUCUCCCCUUCCACUUAACUGCUGCCCUACCCCCACCCUCACCCCUUCGGGCGAACUGACCGGAGACAGCCCCCAGGAGCUGAAACAGGGUGGAGUAAGUGAACUGGAUGUACACGUGGGGAGGGGGGUUGUCAGUGUCCAGGCGUCACUCUCAGGCCGUAUACCACACAGGGCACAGAGACCUGGACCUGCCCAAGCGGCAUUUCCUGAGAACACACUGAUCAGCACACAGAUGGCUCUUCCUGGCACCCCGGGUCUGUCAGCUGGCAGGUUCCCCCCUCCCACAACUGGCACCCACAGCUGGAGCUCCUCCACACAGCUGGCGCUCGCCCUACAUUUCUGGUGCCCGUUCUACCCAGGCUGUCGUUGACACCUCACUUUCCGAGCCUCCAACGGCACUGACCUCCGCAUCCCUCCUCCCCAGUCUGCGACAGGUGGCACGUACCUGCCUCUUCUCCGAGGAUGGACGAGUCGAGCCGGGCACAAGCAUGGAGCUGCGGGUGAGUCCCGGCUGGUACUGGCGCGGCGCAGUGAGCAGCAGCUGACGCAGAGGG